CCAAAACUGUGAGUUGGUUACGGAUGGCUCAAAUGAUGAGCCACGAAGAACUCCCGAUCCGAAUCCACUUCGCUGUCGACGAAGUCUACGAAGAUCCCUCGCAACUCGAGGAGGCCCAGCUCCGCUUACACCGCCUCAAGACCAAGUCUCACAAGGUCUUCGGGCACCUUCCUCAAGUCUGCGCUCGCUCUCCAGGGAGAGUGAAUUUGAUUGGAGAGCAUACAGACUAUGACGGAUUCUCGGUGUUGCCGAUGGCGAUACGGCAGGAUAUAUACUAUUGUGGCGAUUAGGAGGAACGAAGGGGAGAAGGUUCUGAGAAUUGCGAAUGUUAAUGAUAAGUAUGAAAUGUGUACUUAUCCUGCUGAUCCUAACCAGGAAAUUGAUUUGAAGAAUCAUAAAUGGGCCCAUUAAAUCAUUUGUGGGUCAGAACUCGAGAUUUUGCUUGAUUGUUGUUUAAUUUGGUCUCUGCAUGUUAUGUUGUGAUUUGCAUAAUAGAAACGAAGGAAUUUUGCUAUGCUCUGAGUGUUGUGACAUUACUUUAAUUCAUCUCCAGUAAUCGAGUGUUCACCAGAUUUGCGAGUGAAAUCAGUCGGAUGCUACACAUUUGUUUACUGUCUUCUCUUCGUGUUCUCUGUUAUCUGUAUAUUGUGGCCACAAGGACUUUGUUUGAUUUUACUGCUGAUGAGUUAAAAAGUAUUAUUGUUCAAUUGCAUAUAAGAAACUGAUUGUUUGCAUUCUUCGGGUACAAAUGUUUCUAUGAAUUUGCCAAAUCCCGAGGAAUAGAUCUGGGUGCACCAGUGGGACUUGAUGUUCUUAUUGAUGGAACAGUUCCUACAGGUGAAGUUCCCAUAAGUUUACUUUACUACGUAAAUAUUGAUUGUACUAACAGAAGAAGAUAAGAAGACAGUCUUAUACAACUCUAAUAUUGAUUAAUUGUUUUCUGAACGGUGGUAUUGUUUUCCUAUAUUGCCCCUCCAAAUAUAUAACUCUACGGUAAAUGGAUUAAAUAAAAGAAGGGCAAAAUUGUACCUAUGUAGCGGAAAAGAAGAGGAUAAACACAGUUACUCCCACGUUUGGUUGAACACCGGAGAAACCCAAACUGAUUGCAGUUACUAUCCUCCUCAUCUUCCUCCUACAAAACCUGAUUACAGAUUCACCUAAUUGUCAUUGGGUAAUUUUGAGAUUUUGUUUUCCAGUGAUUUAUGUAGGUCUUUGUAAAGAUAUAAGAUGGCUGUCAUUUGGAUGGUCUCUGAACCGGGUCAGUGAAGAAGGAAAACAAAGACACAGUUUCUUUUCUAUGGUAUUUCCUGUAUAACAAAUCGGAGAACUGGGGAAGAAAGAAGUAUACAGCUGGUAGGUUCAUCAUUUUGCAUGUUGUGUGUUUGAAAUCUUUCCUGCUUCAUUCUAUGGGCGCACUCGAACAAUUCACUUUGAAAAAUAGUCAGAUGUCUAGGUUUGAUCAUUACAGUAUUAUGCUUCAGGUUGGGAUGAUGUUGAGGUUAAUUAGUUCAAGCAUCCAAGGUUCAUUAAACCUUUUUGCAGCAUGUGAGAUAUAUCUGCAUCAUUCUAGGUGUAGAAAUGAAUUCAUCUAUAGCAUUCUAAGUUCUAUUCACUAUUUACUUAUUUAGUAAGUGAGGGUUUGGCUCUUGGUUCUUGGCUUCUAGAGGUUUUUUGUUAUUCCUAUACAGAUUACGAGGGAAUAGGAUGGAACAGAGUGGAAGACCGAAAAGGAGUAUAAACUACUUGGGUGAUAGAGUUUGCUCCCUUCCAUUAAUUUUUUUACUUUUUUCAUUCUUUUCUUUGGCUUACCUUUUUUCAUCUUCAUAUCCCAGAUUAAGCGUGGGUUUGGGUAUGAACAGUUAGUAGUGGCUACUAGCAAUGUACUGUAGUCUGUAUGGCUUCUUUUUUCUUUUUUAGUGUGUUCUUUUGUCCUUGAUGCUGCUCAUGUCUAAGUGGCUCUCAAAAUUGGUGUGUAAUUUUCAUUGAAUGUAAUAUCUUUCUCAAAACAGUUUCAUUCCUUCAGUUUGAUCAUGGGAAGGUUGUGGUCACUGGUGGAAGACACAAGACACAGGGGGACGUAUUUAAGUCAUUGAUGAUAGGGAGAAGCAUAUAUUCAGGGCUGUGAUUAUUUGCGUCUUCCAUGGCUCAGUAAUGUGUUCAGCAUUUGUAAGAGUACAAAGGCUUGAGUGUUCCUUCUCGAGUAAAAGGUAUUGAGCUGUCCAUUGCAGAUGGGAACAAGAGAAGACUUGGCUGCUCAGAGGGCUACCACUACGUAAAAUGUACAAAGAAAUAUGUGGUCGAUGUGCGAUUUGUAAUUUAGAUGCUACUUGGGUGAACCAAUUGAGCAAUUGAAUCUUUUUAAUUAGCUUUUCUGGGAAAGAUUUUCAUGUUCUUUUGUAGUCCUAAUUUGUGAAAGAUUUUUCCUUUUAUACCUAUUGACUUACAUGACUGGAAACAAUUUGUAUUAGUUUACAAAAUUGUGUGUAAUUUUUUAUUUUGGUG